GUCCACACCGUAAACGUUGGGCGCUAGGUGUGGGGUCCAUUCCACGGAUUCCGUGCCGCAGCUAACGCAUUAAGCGCCCCGCCUGGGGAGUACGGCCGCAAGGCUAAAACUCAAAGGAAUUGACGGGGGCCCGCACAAGCGGCGGAGCAUGCGGAUUAAUUCGAUGCAACGCGAAGAACCUUACCUGGGUUUGACAUACACCCUGCCGCCUCAGAGACGGGGCUUCUUUUGGGGGUGUACAGGUGGUGCAUGGCUGUCGU
rnacentral:rRNA from 1 species